rnacentral:lncRNA from 1 species
AAACACAAGGACACCAGUAUGGGUUAAGCCAGAGAGCUUCCGAAAAGGGGAAAUCCCACCUAUGUUUACCUAACCAAAUCACUCAUUUCUGCUCAAAAUAUCAAAAAGAAAUUUUACAGAAAUUCUCUUAGAUGACCUUACAUUCACAUUAUAGCAAAAAAAUGGGGAAAAAAUUCAAAGGAAAGGCAAAAAAAAAAUUUAAGAAAAAAUAUACUGAAAUUAAAGGGAAC